rnacentral:rRNA from 1 species
GAGAAAGAACCACCAGGGAUUGCCCCAGUAACGGCGAGUGAAGCGGCAACAGCUCAAAUUUGAAAUCUGGCUCUCAGGGCCCGAGUUGUAAUUUGUAGAGGAUGCUUUUGGCGAGGUGCCUUCCGAGUUCCCUGGAACGGGACGCCACAGAGGGUGAGAGCCCCGUAUGGUCGGACACCGAGCCUCUGUAAAGCUCCUUCGACGAGUCGAGUAGUUUGGGAAUGCUGCUCAAAAUGGGAGGUAUAUGUCUUCUAAAGCUAAAUAUUGGCCAGAGACCGAUAGCGCACAAGUAGAGUGAUCGAAAGAUGAAAAGCACUUUGAAAAGAGGGUUAAAAAGUACGUGAAAUUGUUGAAAGGGAAGCGCCUAUGACCAGACUUGCGCCCGGUGAAUCACCCAGCGUUCUCGCUGGUGCACUUUGCCGGGCACAGGCCAGCAUCAGUUCAGCGCGGGGGAGAAAGGCUUCGGGAAUGUGGCUCCCUCGGGAGUGUUAUAGCCCGCUGCGUAAUGCCCUGCGCCGGACUGAGGUACGCGCAUUGCAAGGAUGCUGGCGUAAUGGUCAUCAGCGACCCGUCUUGAAACACGGACCAAGGAGUCGUCUUCGUAUGCGAGUGUUCGGGUGUCAAACCCCUACGCGUAAUGAAAGUGAACGUAGGUGAGAGCUUCGGCGCAUCACCGACCGAUCCUGAUGUUCUCGGAUGGAUUUGAGUAAGAGCAUACGGGGCCGGACCCGAAAGAAGGUGAACUAUGCCUGUAUAGGGUGAAGCCAGAGGAAACUCUGGUGGAGGCUCGCAGCGGUUCUGACGUGCGAAUCGAUCGUCAAUAUGGGCAUGGGGGGCGAAAGACUAAUCGACC